AGCCUUUAGCAAAACAAGUAUUAAAGGUGACGCCUGCCCAGUGAAAUUUUAACGGCCGCGGUAUCCUAACCGUGCAAAGGUAGCGUAAUCACUUGUCUUAUAAAUAAAGACCCGUAUGAAUGGCUAAAUGAAUAUUUAACUGUCUCCUUUAACUAAUCAGUGAAACUGAUCCCUCAGUACAAAAGCUGAAAUAUAAACAUAAGACGAGAAGACCCCGUGGAGCUUUAAACUUUUAACAAAAUAGAACAAAACAGGUAUUUAUGAUAAAAAGUUUUUAGUUGGGGCGACUUUGGAGUAAAACUGAACCUCCAAGAAAAGGCACCGCCUAUUCCAGGCCAACAGGCCAAACUAUAAAGACCCAGCACAUAAACGCUGAUCAACGAACCAAGUUACCCCAGGGAUAACAGCGCCAUCUUCUUCAAGAGUUCAUAUCGACAAGAAGGUUUACGACCUCGAUGUUGGAUCAGGACACCCAAAUGGUGCAGCCGCUAUUAAAGGUUCGUUUGUUCAACGAUUAACAGUCCU
rnacentral:rRNA from 1 species